rnacentral:snRNA from 1 species
GGAUGUGAGGGUGAUCUGUCUGCAACAUCUGUCACCCCAUUGAUCUGCAGGGUUGAUUCAGCUGAUCUGGCUGGCUAGGCGGGUGUCCCCUUCCUUCCUCACCACUCCAUGUACUUCCCUCCUGAAGCUGCGUGCUCGGUUGAAGAGGACAGCCUACCCCGAAAAACUGUGGUGAGAAGGGCAGGGGAAAGGCCGUAGGUUCAGUUUCUUUUGUUCUCUGAUACUGCUGCCAACAUCAAGAAAUAGACAGUCCUGACUUUCUGACCAUGAAUCUCUGAGAAUGGUGGCUGGU